AGCCGGGCAGAAGCAAUAAAUGACCGAUCUCGAGGAGGGAUUCGCGCGGGUGACUGCUUUACCCUUUCUGGCCUUGCUGAGCCACCCAGUCUGGAAGGUGGGGCGGCGCGGAGGGAAGACGAGGGGGAGGAAGGAGGGAGGCGCAGCCUACGUCCGGGGAACCAGCCCGGCCAGGACACACGUAAAGGCACAGAUAGAGGUCACGCUGGCGCUGGGCCCGAACUGCGCCUUAUCUUGCUUGGAGCCACAGACUCCGCAGAAGGAAACCGAGGCCGGGACGGGCAGUCACUGGCCUGGCGUGACACUGGGACGGGCAGGCACUGGCCUGGGGUCACACUAAAGCUCAAGCGUCUGUCCUCCGUGCCCUGCUGUGCAGCGCGCCCCGUGAGUCCUUAGGCCCUGGAGUGCCUCCUGCAUCUGCUCCCUUCGGGAUGCGCCCGGCAACUAGUGUUUUCUCCGCGGGAGGCGUCGCGGGCUCGCUCCUCCGUGGGGCUGGCAAAGCGAAAGUGAACGAAACAAAUUCCCAGACGGAGACCCAAAAAUCUGGGAAAAGUAGCCUCUCGGGGUUACUUAUUGGUCCAAUAAUCGUGCUUCGGGUAAAGUACCCCCAAAGAAAUGAAAGCACAAUUUCUUUCAUGAGGAUGUUUGUGCAAGGAUCGUCACUGCAGUAGAGGAAAAAAAUCAAAUGGAAAAUUAUGGUUCGUGUGUCCCAUGCAAUCCUAUGCAGCUGUUAACAAUGAACUUGUGAAUGCCCAUGACUUAGAGUUAAAUGAAAAGGAAAGUUGCAGAGAAACAUCUUUUAGUGGGAUCCUAACCUGUUAAAAGAAAAAAGAAAACACCUGUACAUGCGUUUGUGUUUCUAUGAAGAUAGAAACUACUGUAGAAGGCCCACAAGGCUGUGAACCUUGGUUAUCUCCAGUGAGACUGCCAGAGAAGACAGCAUUUUUUCUUUAUAUUUCCUUCAGAGUUUGAUCGGUAGAGUUUUUAUUCGUGUUUGAACUUUUUAAUCCAGUGCAAUGUUUUGAAUUGCAUACACACAAAAUAUCUCCCCGGGCCCAUUAUCAUCUUUGUCAGCCAGAAAGAGCAGCAGGUCAUUCCAGAGCACUCCCACUCUAUGGGAGGCUGGUGAGGAGGAGGAAACUAAUGUUUCAGGAGCAGUUACUGUUUGUUUGUUUGUAUUGUCUUGGAUCCACACACCUAACCAGAAGGUAGCUAUUAUUAGCCUUAUUAUAGAUGAGAAAGUGAGGCCAUAGCAGGUGAAGUAACCUGUCAGACACCUAACUGACAGAGCCAGCUUUCCCACACAGCCUGGACCUUUUCCAGAAACCCACAACCCUCCUUAGCUAUGUCUCAAGCUGGAGAUUGGUAGACCUAUGAGGUCAGCCAAAACUGGCCCCAGGGGCAGGAGAGGAGGGAUUUGAGGCCCAGGGCUAACCUGAGAGGUGGGUUUCAUGGCUGCUGCAGGACCCUGUGGCACAGGGAAGAGAGAGCACAGUGCUGGCUGCUGGGCCAGGUGUAGAGACUCCAGUCUCCCAGUCUUAGGAAGGUCUGGAAGGCUUUGCUCUAGGUCGAGCAAAUAUACUCCCAACUAAAUAUAGUCUUCCCAGGCCUCAUAACGAGUUUCUAAUUCUGUCCAAGUCCCAGCUAGCUGCCAGCCCAGACCACAGACACACUUCCCUUCUCCCACUCAGGCCUGCUCCCCUAGGCCACUGCAGUUACCACUGGUAAAGAAUUAGGAGAAUUUAUUCAGGGAGGAGAGCCAAGGACCCAAACCCUCAGUGGGGGAGGAAUUGCAAGAUUGGAAUUUCUCCUCUAGAUCUUCUUAGGGAAGUUACUUCCUCUUCUGAGCCCUUCAGGUUUCCCCUCCUUGAGGCAUCUGGGUGGCACAGUGGGUUAGGCUUCUGACUCUUGAUUUUGGCUCAGGUGAUGAUCUCAUGGUUCGUGGGAUCAAGCCCUGAGUCUGUCAGGCUCUGCGCUGACAGCUCUGAACCUGCUUGGGAAUCUUUCCCUCUCUCUCUCUGUCUCUCUGUUCCUCCCACUUGUGCACACGCACACACUCUCUCUCAAAAUAAAUUAAUACACUUUGCAGUUUCCCCUUCAGCAUCCUAUUUAAUGCCUCUGUGACUGAGAGAGUGCAAUGUUGGUGGGUAGAUAGGAAGACCUUGGGGAUGUGACAGCAGGAUGAAUUGGGAACCCUCUGACCCUGCAACAGGAAGUGUGUGCCCAAGGGAGUACUCAUUCAUGAAAAGGAGGAAGCUGUGGGGCAGCCGGGGGCAGGCAAACUGGACAUUAGAGGCCUCUGUCUUCUCACCAGGACCUCUCAAGGCUGCAAGGGGCUGAUGCACUCAUGCCUUGCACUGCAGCAGCAAUCUGGAUUUGUCCUAUUCAAUUGUUCAGCUACCUGAUGCCAUAGGUAACGUCCUGACAAAUCUCACACAGAAGGAAAUAGAACUUGUCAACUCUCCAAAAGGCCGUAUUCCUUCUGCUACCCUGCUCGACCCCGCUAGAUGUGCCCGCUAAAUACUAUCCACUACCUGCGUAGCUUGCUGCAAGAGUAGAAGCCACCAUUCUGCAAAGACCAAACGAGGGCUGGAUCUGGCACAGGCAGGUGUGAUUACUCUGCUAGAAGGAAGGAAGGAAGGCAGGCCAAAGACGAGUUCCAUGCAGAAGACCAUGUCCCCUCUCACAACAAGGGAAGAAAACCAGGACCUGUGCCAUCCAGUUGCCUGAGCCCAAUGCCUCCGGAGCCCUGGGAAGACACCUCGAGGAGGGCAUGGCAGGCCCGGUCUCUGGGCAGCUGUGACUCCAGGCCUUACCUCUUACUGUCCUUCCCGUAGGGCUUCCUCCAUCUUGGGUGCGUCCUGACGCCUUCCCCGGAAGUCUUCAUCUGAAAAGCAGAGGGAAGUUGUCUCAUCCUCCACCGUGCAGGGUGUCGCGCAGGCACGUCCUCCAGGCUGGGCAAGGGAACUGACCCAACUCUCUCCAUCCCCCUUGUUUGCUGGGGCACAAGCUGACUCUGGGGUGGGGUGGGGGCGGGGGGAUACGUGGGUUUGGUGAGGGCACCAGGGCACAGUGUGGAGUUAGAAUACCUAGCUGCUGGCCUGGCUGCAUCACUGAGCUCUGAGACCCUGGACAAGUUCUUCCCUCAGCUUCCUCAUCUGUAAAAUGGGUGCGGAAGUUGCACCCUCCAUAUGGCCUCUAAGACCCCCCUGGCCCUUGCUUCUGGGUGUCUCCUGACCAAAGGGCCCCUCUGCUCUGAGGCCUAAGGAUCAGGUUCAGCUAUGGGCCUGCUAGCAUCUAAGGCAGUGUCUUUUGGGAGGGACUGCAUGCACGCUGAAAGGUGUCUGGGCCCAGAGACUAAAACUGCACAGCGCUUGGUUCUCAAGGGGAGGCCCCUCCACGUGAGUAGGCCUGCCUGCCCCCUCCCACCCCAGGGAAGACUCCCCAGAAACAGCACCUGACACUUUGUGCUCCAGGGAGAGAUCUAGGUGGAGGUGCAGCCGGGGCCCCCUUCGGGGAGUGGAAGGGAGAGGUGACAAGAACCAAGCAGGAGGACCCAUUUCCUUGGGUCACCUGCCCACCUAUCCAUGAUGUAUCCCCCCCAGGUUGGGCCCACCCAUGAAAUAGCAGGGCCCUCCUCUUGGAGGAUCACCCAUCACAAGCCAACUUAGAGCUCCAGCUUCCCUGCCCUCCUCGCCUCACCACAAGUGUGACCCUCCACGUCGUCCAGCAGAUUAGCCGUUGACACCGCAGCUCCCAGCCUGCCAGGCCAUUCAGGAAAACGUCUCAGGGGUGGGGGGCACCGCCAUCGUCCUCCAGUUGUACCGCCCCCUGCCCCUGGCUGGCUACCACCCACUGCGAGCCCAGGAGACUCCUUCCCUUCCAGCCUUCUCCCCCAGGGCUCCCCAAAGCCUCCUUUCCUUGGGGUGGGGGGAGACUUUCUCACCCAGCUCCCAUCUCUGGGGUGGAGAAGGGGCUUCCUCCCUGCUCCCCACUGGCCGUUUCAGCUUCUAGUAGCCUGGGUCCCAUGUGACAAGCAUGGGUGGGAGUCUAGGUUAAAAUGUGGAAAACCCUAUUUUUCCUCAAGGAACCACUGAAAGCGAGGAGGCAGGGGACAAAGAGGAAAGUGGGGAGGUAGCAAGAGCUACAGAUCAAUUCAACUCAGGAAAUCAGGGAGAGGUUUGCUGGUUUCAGUGGAAGAACCAAGUUUUCUCCCAAGAGCAGAUUAGCCCGGCCAGAAAGUGGAGCUCUCUCCUUGGGAGCCCACAGAAGGCAGCAGGAGACGCUGGCCUGUCCCCAGGGCCGGUCACGGUGGUCCAGGCAGGGCGGUGGGCUGGCCUCGGGUGCGCGGAGGAGAGGGGUGGCCGCAGAGCCGGUCCCAGCCCCAGGGAGAGCGCAGCCCCGGCAGUCUGGCCAGGGGGUCGGCGCCCGCAGCCCCCCAGCGCCAGGCCGGAAAGGAUACGACUGGUGCUUGGACAAGUGUUUCCUCUUUGACUUCCUCAUCCUGGUCUUCUCGGAGAAGGCCCUGGCCAGCUCAAACAGCUUCCUCCGGGUGGCUGGGGCAGAGAGACCCGUGAGCGGAGAGCCGCAGCCACAGGGCCAUCCCGCUUUCCCUCCCCCGGGUGGGAGGGCGACAGGAACUCAGCGGCGGUGGCUGCAGCGGCGGCGGGUGGCCGGGCAUCCCCAAGCAGGGAGGCUGCCCUCCCAGCCCGGCCUGCAGGGGCAGCAAAGGCCACCGAGAGCAGGACCAGGCCCGGGCAGGCAGCCCGAGAUCCGGGUAUUCCUUCCCCAGCUGUGACAGACACCGAUGCGUCUUGGCUGUCUUUCCCGCCGCCGCCUCUCCCGCCCCCUUCACCACCUCCAGAGUCGGUUCUGGGAUUUCCAUGACUAAUCCGAGAUUUUCCCUGAAAUGGAGUCUGGAAGGAUGGCAGCCUCAUUCACACGUGGUUGGGUGGUGGGGAGGGGAGGAGGGGGGUAGGUUCGUCCUGGCCGCCAGGACUCUGCGGGGAGAGGUCACCGACCCCUCUGGCCUCCUGCCUGCAGACAGUGGGCUUAACACGGGCCUCCCCACUCAUCAGGCCAAGUCCCCUCAAGCCACAAAGAACGUGAACUCUGAAACAGGGACGGGGUGGGGUGGGUGCAGCACAUUAUUAUUUUUCUGCAGACAGCUGGCUCAAGAGGAUUUAAAACUUAAUUUGUAUCCACACUCAGCCGCAGAGAGGGAAGCGAGGCAGGAAGGCUGAGGGAGCCAGCCUGCGAUUAAAAUGUCACUUUGGUUCACCCAGAGUCAGCUACCUUAAAAACACCCGUGCCUCCUUCCCUCCUACGAGGCCACAGGGCCUGUCUUAGAAGAGAUGGGGAGGGGGCCUAGGCAGGACUCACAUUUUCCCAUGUGUUUUAACUUGUCCCUGAAUAAGGCAUCUUCAGACACAGCAGGAUUGGCAUCACCGGUUCCUGGAAGGGGAAGACACCUCUGAGGUCCGGCUGCAGAGGGAGAGUAGCUGCCCAAGGCCCCGGGGCUGGGGGCCCAGGGGAAGCAGGUCAGGGCUGUCCCCAUAGGACAGGGGACGGCCCCAACCCUUCCAUUUGAGGAGAGAGGCAAAAAUCAGGCUUCUUCCCUAACCAAGAGGGAGCUUUAAGAAAGGAGGACACUAGGGGCACCUGGGUGUCUCGGUAGGUUCAGCCUCCAACUUUGAUUCAGAUUACGAUUUCACAGUUCCUAAGUUCGAGCCCCGUGUCAGGUCUGUGCUGACAGCUCAGAGCCUGGAGCCUGCUUUCGAUUCUGUGUCUCCCUCUCUGUGCCCCCCACCCUGCUUGCACUCUCUCUCUCUCUCCUUCAAAAAUAAAUAAACAUUAAAAAAAUUUUUUUAAUAAAAUAAAAAAAAAAGAAAGAAAGGAGGACACUAGGGGUUUGAGGAGGACUUCUUUAUCUGCCAAGCCCUGCUUUGCUUUUUUGUGUAAAAGGCAAGACAGUGGUAUGUCCUGUGUGCGCGGCUCACACACUCUUCCAACCGUCCACUGCUCUGACCAACUCCGUGUUCCGCAAAGCCAUGCUGGUAGCUUGAAACCAGUAUGGUGGGAGUGUUUACAUCAUGGAAGUCACAGAUGCUAAGCACUGGGGCUGCCCCUGCACCCUGAUCUGGCUGUUAGAUACUCACCAGCACACAGAGGCUGGCCUGCAGCCCGACCCAGUGAGAGGGUUAAUAAGGGAAUGGAGACGAGGUGUGGGCACAGAGCAGACAUUUGUCCGUGCUGAUUCCCUUCUCCUUCCUGCCUGGGUCAGCUCCUCCAUUAACUCCCUCCAGACAGGGAGUUCCUGACUCCUUAGACAAUGAGUAGGAAUGAGAAUAGGGCCAGUUCCCAAGUCAAAACCCAGUUGGCCACCUAGAGUCUCCCCGAUCACUCAGCACCCACUUGCAUCUCUCGCUGCCCUUCUAAAGCCCCUGCUCUCCACCCUGCAACUCGGCUAAUCCCGAGUCACCUUGCCUGCUAAGUCCCCUGUGAGUCAUUAUGAUCCAUCCCAGCAGCCCUGGUGUGUCUAGUUAAUUCAGGAUCAAGGACAAGAGACUGUCGUUAAGACUACCAGAUGCACAUCUGGUGGGGCCUAAGCUCCAAGCCUGUUGCUUAUGAAUCAGUUCCACAGGAUUUUCUUCCUCUGAGCUGGGAUCAGCUGAGCUCCCAUCCUCUGCUCUACCACCCCACUCCACGGCGUGAUGUGAGGUGCGUUUUGGGCAAAAGCCGCUGCUGCUUCUUCCUCUGAGGUGGGCAGCCUACGUACGCAAGGAAGAACUGACUGGCUGGGGUCCCGACGCACACACAGGGACACAUGGGCAGGGUCCAGAUGUCAAGUACGGAAUCUAGGCCUCCUAGACCUCUCUGUUCCCAUGUUCCCAGCUCCAGCCCGACGCUUCUUCGUGCAUCCCAACAGCCUGCUGUCCCUUCCUGGCCCACCUCCAGUGGGUUAGGGCUCCUGGAGGGGCCUGCCCCUCUUUUGAGGCCGUUCUUGCUUCUUACCACCUUGUACAUGAAACUCAAAGUUCUCUUCUUCCAACACUAGGGCAGGGCCUGGCUACGACGGGUCUUCCCCCAGCGACUGAAUGAAUAAACCCUUCCCUGCCCUUCUCACCAUGAGCAUUUGCUAUAAUCAGUGUGUCCUCAGCUUUGCUGGUUGGUUCUACCCCUUUCGGGGAUGUUUCUCCUGCAUUCCCCAGGGCGGAGAUCAAGCCUUAGAAGUCUUUGAGUCCUUCCUGAGCCCACCCACCACGGGACAUAUGUGAUGUGGUAUGUCCCCUUCUUGGCCAUGCUCCAGGCACUUUCUGAGCUCAGCCAGCCUGUUAGCCAAUCCCAGGGGGGGCUCCAGCAGCCACUGGAUUGGUAAGAGUCCAGGCCUGCUAAGUGGAGGGCCAUGUCACUCACAGUUCUGACGCCACAGUGCGGUGGUGGGGUCAGAACCCUCCCCUCCAGCCUAUUUCCUCACUCUACCUCUAAACUCCAAACAUGCAAAGCACAGCUGGGGUGUGAGCCUCUAUGCCCUCUGGGCCUCUCUCCUAGGAAGGCAAGGUUACCUGGGGCAGGAGAGGGAAAGCCAAAGUCAUUUCCCACAGCCACGCUGCUGCUGCUGCUGCUGCUGCUGCUGUUGGAUUUGGAUUUCUGGGACUCGUAUUUCAAACGAUCUGGAAAAGGACCACAUUCCUGUCAGGACAGUUAGCUCUCUCCCAGGGGCACCCUGGGCUGAGACACAGGAGGUCGUUGGCGGCUAAGGCCCCAGAUCUCACAUGACACACACAAAAUAUGUGCACACACACGUCAACCGGCUCUCAAAGAACCAGCCGUACCAUAGAAACUACUGCCCUGACAAGCACGUGGAUGGAAUGUUAGAACAUCAGAAUUAGAAGGACGCUGAGAGAUCAUGUAGUCCAACCCUUCAUUUAAAAGGAAAGGCCCUGGGGCGCCGGGGUGGCUCAGUGGGCUAAGAGACUCUGGAUUUCAGCUCAGGUCAUGAUCUCACGGUUCAUGGGAUACAGCCCCGCGUCAGGCUCUACAGCUGACAGCAUGGAGCCUGCUUGGGAUUCUCUCUCUCCCCCUCUCUCUCUGCUCCUCCCCCGCUUGUUCUCUCUCUCUCUC